ensembl:lncRNA
AAAUACUUACUGACAAGCCCUUAACCAACAGUGCAGUUGAAGAAGAAGAAAGUGUUUACCAUGUAGACUAAAAUAAAAAAGUAACACAAUAAGAAUAACAAUAACAAGGCUAUAUACAGGGGGUACUGGUACAGAGUCAGUGUGGAGGUUAUAUACAGGGGGUACCAGUACAGAGUCAGUGUGGAGGUUAUAUACAGGGGGUACUGGUACAGAGUCAGUGUGGAGGUUAUAUACAGGGGGUACUGGUACAGAGUCAGUGUGGAGGUUAUAUACAGGGGGUACUGGUACAGAGUCAAUGUGGAGGCUAUAUACAGGGGGUACUGGUACAGAGUCAAUGUGGAGGCUAUAUACAGGGGGUACCGGUACAGAGUCAGUGUGGAGACUAUAUACAGGGGGUACUGGUACAGAGUCAAUGUGGAGGCUAUAUACAGGGGGUACUGGUACAGAGUCAAUGUGGAGGCUAUAUACAGGGGGUACUGGUACAGAGUCAAUGCGGAGGCUAUAUACAGGGGUACUGGUACAGAGUCAAUGUGGAGGCUAUAUACAGGGGGUACUGGUACAGAGUCAAUGUGGAGGCUAUAUACAGGGGGUACCGGUACAGAGUCAAUGUGGAGGCUAUAUACAGGGGGCACCGGUACAGAGUCAAUGUGGAGACUAUAUACAGGGGCUACCGGUACAGAGUCAAUGUGGAGGCUAUAUACAGGGGGUGCUGGUACAGAGUCAAUGUGGAGGCUAUAUACAGGGGGUACCAGUACAGAGUCAAUGUGGAGGCUAUAUACAGGGGGUACUGGUACAGAGUCAAUGUGGA